UAUUAAACAAUUAUAAUCUACUUAAUCUACUUUUUAGCAAUUAAAUAAUGUUAUAAUUUUAGGCGUACCGAAGAGCCCCGAGAAAUUCCAAUAGCCCCACCUUACGGAAUUGUUUUGAGAAGAAAAAAUUAAAGAGCUAAAAAGAUAAAGAAGUUGUGAACGUCAAAGGACAAUUUAUCAGCGUCAGAGUUUUGAAGCAAAAUGAAAAAAAUAAAAUUCAAAAAAUAUAAAACGAAACAGUACCAAAAUCAAAUGCUGAACGUCAAAAGUCAACGUAAUGCCGAAAAAUCUUACGUUGAUAUGAAAAGAGAAAAAUUGAACAGUAAUGAUGAGAAUGUCGUGCAAUGUAGGGCUGCUGAAAAUAUAGAAAAUGUAACGCUACAAGAAAAUCAAUUUCACAGUCAACAACUUCAAAUUUGUAGCGAAUGAAUGCAUUAUUCCCGAAGUUAUUCUACACACGAAUACAGGAAUUCCUGGUGAUGGUAAUUGUCUAUUCCACUCACUUAUAAGUGUGACAAUUAUGAUAAAGAUCCUAUUGAAUAUAACCAUAACAGUCAUGAAAAUGAAAUUGAGAUUGAUAGAAGAGUAGACCAAAUAUGUGAAAAUAUCAUGGAUUUUAUUGUAGAUGGUACUAUUUAGGUUUACACAAAUUAUCGUAAACACAGCACAAGUCAUAUUGAUUUUUAUAAAGACUUUACGAGUAA